GGUUGACCUCGGAUCAGGUAGGGAUACCCGCUGAACUUAAGCAUAUCAUAG
rnacentral:rRNA from 1 species